rnacentral:rRNA from 1 species
UUAAGUGACUAAGCGUACAAGGUGGAUGCCUUGGCAAUCAGAGGCGACGAAGGACGUGCUAAUCUGCGAAAAGCUUGGAUGAGUCGAUAAGAGGCGUUUAAUCCAAGAUGUCCGAAUGGGGAAACCCAGUAGAUGAAGAAUCUACUAUCACUUACUGAAUCCAUAGGUAAGUGAGGCAAACCGGGAGAACUGAAACAUCUAAGUACCCCGAGGAAAAGAAAUCAACCGAGAUUUCGUUAGUAGCGGCGAGCGAACGCGAAGGAGCCUGUUAGUGAUAAUGACAGAGACAGAGGAACAAGCUGGGAAGCUUGGCGAUACAGGGUGAUAGCCCCGUACUCGAAGUCCAGGUCAUGGUACUAAGCUAACGAUAAGUAGGGCGGGACACGUGAUAUCCUGUUUGAAGAUGGGGGGACCAUCCUCCAAGGCUAAAUACUCCUGAUUGACCGAUAGUGAACCAGUACUGUGAAGGAAAGGCGAAAAGAACCCCGGUGAGGGGAGUGAAAUAGAACCUGAAACCUUGUACGUACAAGCAGUGGGAGCCCUUUAAGGGUGACUGCGUACCUUUUGUAUAAUGGGUCAGCGACUUAUAUUUUGUAGCGAGGUUAACCGAAUAGGGGAGCCGAAGGGAAACCGAGUCUUAACUGGGCGUCUAGUUGCAAGGUAUAGACCCGAAACCCGGUGAUCUAGCCAUGGGCAGGUUGAAGGUUGGGUAACACUAACUGGAGGACCGAACCGACUAAUGUUGAAAAAUUAGCGGAUGACUUGUGGCUGGGGGUGAAAGGCCAAUCAAACCGGGAGAUAGCUGGUUCUCCCCGAAAUCUAUUUAGGUAGAGCCUUGAGCGGACACCUUCGGGGGUAGAGCACUGUUUCGGCUAGGGGUCCAUCCCGGAUUACCAACCCGAUGCAAACUACGAAUACCGAAGAGUGAUACUCAGGAGACACACGGCGGGUGCUAACGUCCGUCGUGGAGAGGGAAACAACCCAGACCGCCAGCUAAGGUCCCAAAGUCUAUAUUAAGUGGGAAACGAAGUGGGAAGGCUUAGACAGCUAGGAUGUUGGCUUAGAAGCAGCCAUCAUUUAAAGAAAGCGUAAUAGCUCACUAGUCGAGUCGGCCUGCGCGGAAGAUGUAACGGGGCUCAAAUAUAGCACCGAAGCUGCGGCAUCAGACGAAAGUCUGUUGGGUAGGGGAGCGUUCUGUAAGCGGAUGAAGGUGAAUCGAGAGGUUUGCUGGACGUAUCAGAAGUGCGAAUGCUGACAUAAGUAACGAUAAAACGGGUGAAAAACCCGUUCGCCGGAAGACCAAGGGUUCCUGUCCAACGUUAAUCGGGGCAGGGUGAGUCGGCCCCUAAGGCGAGGCUGAAAAGCGUAGUCGAUGGGAAACGGGUUAAUAUUCCCGUACUUGGAUAAACUGCGAUGUGGGGACGGAGCAGGUUAGGUUAUCGCACUGUUGGAUAUGUGCGUUUAAGUUGGUAGGUGUGAAGUUUAGGCAAAUCCGGACUUCUUUAACACUGAGAGAUGAUGACGAGGCUCUACGGAGCUGAAGUAACCGAUACCACACUUCCAGGAAAAGCCACUAAGCUUCAGGUUUAUCUAAACCGUACUGAAAACCGACACAGGUGGUCAGGUAGAGAAUACUCAGGCGCUUGAGAGAACUCGGGUGAAGGAACUAGGCAAAAUAGCACCGUAACUUCGGGAGAAGGUGCGCCGGCGUAGAUUGUAGUCCCUUGCGGAUGAAGGUUGAACCGGUCGAAGAUACCAGCUGGCUGCAACUGUUUAUUAAAAACACAGCACUCUGCAAACACGAAAGUGGACGUAUAGGGUGUGAUGCCUGCCCGGUGCUGGAAGGUUAAUUGAUGGUGUAAUCGAAAGAGAAGCUCCUGAUCGAAGCCCCAGUAAACGGCGGCCGUAACUAUAACGGUCCUAAGGUAGCGAAAUUCCUUGUCGGGUAAGUUCCGACCUGCACGAAUGG